UAGGGAAUCUUCCGCAAUGGCCGAAAGUCUGACGGAGCAACGCCGCGUGAGUGAAGAAGGUUUUCGGAUCGUAAAACUCUGUUGUCAGAGAAGAACAAGUUGGAGAGUAACUGCUCCAGCCUUGACGGUAUCUGACCAGAAAGCCACGGCUAACUACGUGCCAGCAGCCGCGGUAAUACGUAGGUGGCAAGCGUUGUCCGGAUUUAUUGGGCGUAAAGCGAGCGCAGGCGGUUCCUUAAGUCUGAUGUGAAAGCCCACGGCUCAACCGUGGAAGGUCAUUGGAAACUGGGGAACUUGAGUGCAGAAGAGGAGAGUGGAAUUCCAUGUGUAGCGGUGAAAUGCGUAGAUAUAUGGAGGAACACCAGUGGCGAAGGCGACUCUCUGGUCUGUAACUGACGCUGAGGCUCGAAAGCGUGGGGAGCAAACAG
rnacentral:rRNA from 1 species